rnacentral:rRNA from 1 species
CUGAAUCACUUAAGAAGUGAUAACGUAAGGGAAAAUAAUGAUACUACCUUACUAUAAGUGUUGUCCAAAUCUGGUGCCAGAAGACUCGGUAAGGCCAGAAACGCGAACGUUAGUCAUCUUAAACAGGCGUAAAGGGUGAGUAGGCAACUUCAAAAUUCUAAUUUUAUCCUCUAUCCCUCAUCUUUUCCUGUCAGCAUAGCUGGUGGGGUGAUGGCAGGGGCAGAGGGCAAUAGCAAAAAAUAAGCGGGAAAGUAGAAGAUAGAAUCUAAUAUAGGAAAAAAUAAAAUCGGGAGUUAAGGUUAAAAUCUGCAGUAAACUCGAUAGAAUACUAACGGCGAAGGCAUUUUUCCAUUAAUGAUUGACGCUGAGGAACGAAGGAUAGGAUAAGAAACAGGAUUAGAUACCCUGGUACUCCUUUCAGUAAACGAUGAAUGGUAGUCGCUAAAAUUUAUUAGUGUCAAUGUUAACACGUUAACCAUUCCGCCUUGUGAGUACGAUUGCAAAAUUGAAAACAAAAAAAUUAGUCGUCUCGAAGC